rnacentral:rRNA from 1 species
GUGGGGAAUAUUGGACAAUGGGCGCAAGCCUGAUCCAGCCAUGCCGCGUGAGUGAUGAAGGCCCUAGGGUUGUAAAGCUCUUUCAGUAGGGAAGAUAAUGACGGUACCUACAGAAGAAGCCCCGGCUAACUUCGUGCCAGCAGCCGCGGUAAUACGAAGGGGGCUAGCGUUGUUCGGAUUUACUGGGCGUAAAGCGCACGUAGGCGGAUUGGUCAGUUAGAGGUGAAAUCCUGGAGCUCAACUCCAGAACUGCCUUUAAUACUGCCAGUCUAGAGUCCAGAAGAGGUGAGUGGAACUCCUAGUGUAGAGGUGGAAUUCGUAGAUAUUAGGAAGAACACCAGUGGCGAAGGCGGCUCACUGGUCUGGUACUGACGCUGAGGUGCGAAAGCGUGGGGAGCAAACAGGAUUAGAUACCCUAGUAGUCC